AACGAACGCUGGCGGCAUGCCUAACACAUGCAAGUCGAACGAAGCCUUCGGGCUUAGUGGCGCACGGGUGCGUAACACGUGGGAAUCUGCCCUUCGGUUCGGAAUAACAGUUAGAAAUGACUGCUAAUACCGGAUGAUGACGUAAGUCCAAAGAUUUAUCGCCGAAGGAUGAGCCCGCGUAGGAUUAGGUAGUUGGUAGGGUAAUGGCCUACCAAGCCUGCGAUCUGUAGCUGGUCUGAGAGGAUGAUCAGCCACACUGGGACUGAGACACGGCCCAGACUCCUACGGGAGGCAGCAGUGGGGAAUUUUGGACAAUGGGCGAAAGCCUGAUCCAGCCAUUCCGCGUGCAGGAUGAAGGCCCUCGGGUUGUAAACUGCUUUUGUACGGAACGAAAAGGCUCUUGCUAAUACCAGGAGUCCAUGACGGUACCGUAAGAAUAAGCACCGGCUAACUACGUGCCAGCAGCCGCGG
rnacentral:rRNA from 1 species